UUGGGUAAUUCCUGCAGCCCCCUGCGGUGGAGCCUCGCCUCCAGUUCCCAUCCAUCUUGGUGAGUUUCCACUUCUUAUAGGAGUCACAGGUGAGGGUGUCCGGGGUCAGGUUGCAGAUCUCCAGGCGAGAGUAGUGUCUCAGGAAGUCACUGAAGGACAUCCUAGCAAAGCACAGACAGGGUGUCCCGAGUUAUAGAAGACACUGGCUUCACCUUAAUCUUCUACCUGGUUGACAGGGGUGGGGUGGGGCUGUCUAAGACUCAGUGAUGGACGCUAUGGCCAGACUCGGAGGCUCCAAAUCUAGUUCUGUAGCAGCCACUUUCUCAGGGGUGAUUUGGGGCAAAUUGAUGAGUUCUCUUUGCACCCCAGAGUUCUCAGUGGUGGAAUGAAAGCCAUGAAUAAGUACGAACCGAAACAACAUAUGGACUCUUGGAACAAUAUCCACUCGAGGUGUUCUGUGGGGGCAGUGCACACACAGAGGACCCUCUCGGCUCACUAACGAACUGGUUUCUUUCUUUCUUUCUUCCUUCCUUUCUUUCUUUCUUUCUUUCUUUCUUUCUUUUUCUUUUCUUUUUUUUUUCUUUCGAGACAGGGUUUCACUGUGUAGCCCUGGCUGUCCUGAAACUCACUCUGUAGACCAGGCUGGCCUCAAACUCAAAUCUGCCUGCCUCUGCCUCCCGAGUGCUGGGAUUAAAGGCGUGCACCACCACCGCCUGGCUUAGAGUUGGUUUCUUAAUGAGCCAAGGAUCUCUCUUUAGAGACUGAUGGAAGGAAAGGUCUCAUCUUUCUCUGUGUUUUCUCUUGGGGUCUAAACAUUUCUGAAGGAAUUCCUCUCAGCCCUUGUGAAAUUGCCGGGUGUUAACCCCACAGCUGAGAUGGACAAAUUGAAGAGAUUUAAAAGCUGUUUAGGAUCAUAUAGAGUUUUUUUUUUUUCUUUGUUGGAAACAGGUUCUUUCUGGAUAGCCAAGGCUAUGCAGCUUGGUCUCCAGUUUGAGAGCCCUCUUCCUCAAUUUUUAGAGAGCUAAGAUUACAGAGGUGCGCCACCUGCUUGGGACUUAGAUGCAUAAAGAGCAGCAAAGCCAGGUUGCCCUACCACACGUCCUCAGCGUGCUGAACGCAUUGCUGACUGGUGCCCUGGUUAGGAAUGUCCCUGCCGCCCCUGCUGCCUUACCAGAAUUCUCCGUCCUCCUGCCGUUCGGUUAGAUUUGCCCUUACUUCUGGGUCAACCGUGUUCCAGCUGGGGCAACUGGAAAGCGAAGCAAGAAGAGAGGUCUUAGGAAUCAGUGUGUGGCAAUGACCAUGUCUCUCCACAGUCCCCAAAGGCUGAGGCUCGGAACACACCCACUUUUACUAACUUCCGAGGGCCCAGACCCACCUGCAUCCAGACCCCAUGGAGAAACACAAAACAUAAUCUAAGAAGCACAGACGCUUGUGCAGGGAGCUAGGGGAGAGGUCACACUCUCCUGGAACACGGUGGAUAGAAGAGUAAAAAUGAGCAAGGCCCACCGUCAAGGGCUGGAGGAGCAUUGCUGUGUCAGGGACGAUGCUCCCGGCAGCUCUUUUAGGGGCAACUGGAAACCCACCAAGGACCACCCCCAGAGCAACCCGGAAGGAAGUCUGCCCGUAGGCGGUCCUCUGCUGAGGCUAGGGCCGCCUGGAACAAGCCAGAAAAGGGGUAGAGGAAGGGGAAGCGCUUCUGGGAAAGAGUCAAGGGACCAGGUGGACGGCUCAACGGAGCUUUUGUCCCAGAGGGUUGAAGCUUAACAGCUACCGGAAAGCCCUGGGGAUCAACAGGCUCAUCCCCGCUCUUGGCACACAGUUCAUGGCCUUGAUUUAUUAGGAUGACGGGGCCUUUUCUUCCUUUAUUUUUUGUUUACACUUAUUUGUGUGUGUGUGAGCGCACGCGCGAGUGUGUGCCCCCUCGAAUAUUCCAGCAGGGUGAUGGUGUGCUCUGCCACAGUGCUUUUUUGAAGGUUAGAGGACCACUUGUGGUUAGCAGGUUCUUUCCUCCAUGUAGGUCCCAGGCAUCAGGCUUGGCGCCAAGCAUCGUUACCUACUGGGCCAUCUCACUAGCCUGUGGGGUGUGUUUUACCCCAGAGGGCCCAAUAGCAGAGUGAACGUGAGCUGGAAAAGGAAGGAGGGACCACGGACCGGACCAUGAGCUGAUCCAGAGAGUAAAAGAACGCCUGCAGCUGCCUCGGUGACCAGCAGAGGGCAGCGCGCGCCAGGCAGCUGCCGCCCUGGAGGCCCCACCCCGGACAGCCACGUGCUAGCAGGGGGCGUACCUCCUCGGCUCCGGUGACAGAGUACGCAUGUCCUUUCACCAACUUCUGGUACGUAACGGCCUCAGAAUCUGCAGCGCUGGUGAUCUGCAAACACAAGGACAGUAGGUGGCAGCUGCUCCAUCCCGGAUACAAAUGGCCCAGAAAGAUGCACAUGGCACCCGGGCCUAGUCUGGAAAACUCUGCGCAUCCAUCCUGCCACCUGGAGGAGCAACUUUUAGUUGCUGAUCACCAGGGAGCAAGUUGGCGCAUGCCCCCCCUCCCCCCAGAUGAGUCACCUUCUAGACAAGGGUCUGUGGGAGGCCUAAUGACAGACACCCAAGUGGCAACUGUAGCCAAGAUGCUGUGAUUCUGCAACCCCUACUCCGCCCAACUAAGUUGCACUGACAGCGACUUUUUAACUUCAGAAUCCAUGUAUUGGGUUGCCAACUCCUUAAAGGCCCUCCUUUCCCAUCCUUUGGGCACAGCUUGGGGAAACUCCUGGGGCCUGGACCAGCCUCACUUUCCAUCUCCCUGGUGAGGUUUGUUUGCCUGCAAAGCUAUUUUGAAGAAGCAGAUCCUUCUGGUACUCCCUGGCGUCUUCUCCAGGACCCACCAGCACUGGGACAGAGUGAGGAGAGGUUGCAGGGCUGCUCAAACAACCCUGCAGGUGCCGGACAAGGUGUCAAGACCAGCAGAAGGGGGGUGGGGGGCUUUUUGUGACCUGCGGUCUGUGAGUGGAGUGAUACAACACAGUUAGAAUGGAAAGUGGGAUGGGGAUGAAGGUCUGGUGGCACUGUUACUGUAUCAAUGGCGCCCCUAGAGGACUAUUGCCUGGUGACCCUGGGCAAGGGAUGCACCCAUGCCUUAAGGAGCUUCUGGGUGGCGGCGGACUUGAGUGCUUGCGGAGGGUGAUGGAGACUUACAUCGAUAGAGCAGCCAAGCAGAGAACCUUUCUCCAAAGCCUUCUGGAUGAUCUUGAACAAGUUGGGAGGAGGCUUCCUCAGCUCAUACCACUCAGCAAUGCCUCCUGUGAAGUCUUCAAAGCCUUCCGUGGUGGCACCCCCUGAGAGUGCUUCAUAGCACCCAUUGAUCCUGAAGGGGGAAUUCAUGCUGCAACAGGGAGCCUUCAUCCCUGAAAAUGCCUCCCCACUCCAACUUAGAUCCCCACUUGGGAGCUCAUGGGGUCCUCUGCUUUUAUCUUCCUUGUCUUUGUCUCCAACUCGGGGUGCCCAGGAAGGCAAGGAGCGAUCCCUCUAGUUAUUUUCCUCUGUGGCUACAACAUGCUUUAGAAUUUGUACCAAACCAGGAAGGGUUUAGUGAUGUUCUGGGAUGACUUAAUGCUGCUCUGAUCCAGCCUCUGGCGUUGACUCUAGCCCUGACACAGAGGUUGGCUGGAGACACUUCAGAAAUGAACCCAGUUUCCCAAAAAGCACACAGCAGGUUCCUGUGGUCAUGCCCUGAGCUCUAUGCCCCAAGUUCUCUUGGUUAAGAACAUGAAGCCCCCCUGCCCCAGUGUCUGGCCUGGGGUUGUAGAGAUCCUAAACCCACUAGCUCCAUCUUAAUGCAGUGAGUGCAUCAGCACCAGCACCAGCACCAGCACCAGCACCAGCACCAGCACCUGAGGCUCCCGCUGCAGAGGGCUGACAUCCGGGGUGGACCCAGCACAACUUUGGGCCAGCUGGGUGAUACACAGCUAGGAUUAGAACCAAGAAGCCAUUCUUACCAGCCACCUGAUUUAUUCUGGGUGAGUUUCUACAGUUUUUCUACCCCUGCAAUGGGUAGCUUUGCCCACUGGCAGAAGCUUUUGGUCUUUUCAGCUAAGAGGCAAUGGGGGCCCACCAGAGAAGCAGAGUUCUUUCUCAAGGCCAGAGCAGACAGCCCCAGAAUGUCCCAGUUCACUUGCUCAGAAAGAGCAAUGACUGUCCUGUACCAGUACAUCAUGUGAACAGCCACCAUACCCAUAUUACCUCCUUGAAUUAAGAGCCAAAUUUGGGCCAAAGUCAUCCUUUUAUAGAACAGAAUGUCUAUUCAAAACAGUCCCCGAAAUAGCUCCCGCUGUUUUGGAGUCCAGGGCAGCAGAGGCAAGAUGGGGUGUUGGGGAAGGGCGUGGUUACUUACUUGGCAUAGGCUUUCUCCAGAAGGGCACUCCAGAACUCACUCCCUUCAGCUGAAUGCACAAAGAGCAGCUCCCCGUCCUUAGUGGGCAGCCUGUCGUCCACCACCACCUCCACCCACUCGCCAUAUUGCCAGAACUGCAAGGCAAGAGGGACAAGAUAGGGUGACACUGGGACUCUGAGCCUUGGCCUCAUCCGGUUCUCCCCAGCCCAGCCCCUUGCUGUGGGUUCCUAUGAUGCUCUUCGGUGUCCUAUGUUAAGUGUGCCCCUCACCAAGCAAGAAGCCAGCGGAGCUCAUCUGUGUCUCCAAAGCCGCAUGCACUUCUUUAAAAAAAUAUCAUCUCUCACUUGCUAUCAUAAAAAGAUUUUUAACCUUUUAUCUCAACCCUCAAAUAAUAAACAUAAAAAAAAACCCUAGGGGAUUACUUCCUGAACAUAUUACUUCCUGUACACCAUGAUCUACCUCCGUGGACCACCUCCAUCCCAACUCCACGCCGUUCGGAUGGGAUCCCACAUGAUGAUCAAGUUGGGAAAAUCUUGUCUCUCUCUUCCAGCAUCCUUUGCAGAACAGAACUGAUCUCCAGAGCUUUCAAACUACCAGAGACUGGGGAGUGUAGGAGCAAGCCAAGCCCAGAGGCAUCUGCUGAGCCCCUGAGCCAGGGCAAGGAAGUGCCUCAGCCAAGUAUAAAGUUACCUGGAAGUGGAAGAUGCCUGCAUAGUUUUCCUGGAAGCUCUGAUCUGGAGGCACAACCCGAGCCAGGAUUUCCUCAUUCAAGGUGAGGGAGGCGAUGGCAGCCAGCAGCCAGCAGUCCCCUGAGAACACAAAGCCACACAGAGCUCUGGUCAGGUCUUAGUUCCCAGAGGAUGUGAAGUCUUGUUCCUGCAGCUGGGUGCUUGGAACCCAACGUUACCCUGGAGUAGAUGGAGUGGUGUUUCAGACAGUCCCUCAACUAAGGGACAGGUCACCCGGUCUGAUGGAUAUUUUUAUGGACACGCUACAGGAGAAAUGCCGUGUUGGGUGGAUGGCUGCAUACAAGAGAGGUUCGUUCUCUGAGAAACUCAGAACUCUCGUGGCGGCUCAACUGUGUCCUUGGAGCCCAGCUCUGUGCCUGAUACACAGGAGCUAUGCCCGUCUAUGGACGGACUGAACUUGACGGGCAACAGAGGCUUCAAUGAAAAGAGGUUUUCUAGCGGAGUUUGAAUGAGAGGAAGAAAAUACAGCAAUAGACGGGGAGGAGCUGAACACAAGGAAGGAGAUGCCGGGGCACAGGGGGCGGGGGUGGAAUCCAGGGGAAGGGAGGAAGGCAGUGCGAUCACAGGAGUGUACAACAAAGGCAGACAGAACAGCCAUGAGCUGAUCUGCAUGAGCUCCAGCUGACUGAGGUUUCCCUGGGGUAGAGGCAGAGCUCACUUCUGGGAUGUGGUCAGGGAAGGGACUGGGCGGGGACAGGGACAGGGACAACCAGAUGAGGCUCUCUGAUCCUCAGGCCAGGUCUUUGUGAAGGAAGAUGUAUGUCUAAAGCAUGCAGUCCCCAUUGGUGCCCACAGCAGGAGCUUCGUGUAGGACGCACCAUGGUCAUCCUGCAGUUACAAAUAACCUGGUCCAGCACCGGCUCCAGGCACUUUGCAGACUGGGACUUGUUGAGCACAAAAACAAAAGAACAAAACCCAAAACCAACAAUAAAGGGGAACUAGAGAGAUGGCUCAGCGGUUAAGAGCACUGACUGUUCUUCCAAAGGUCCAGAGUUCAAAUCCCAGCAACCACAUGGUGGCUCACAACCAUCUGUAAUGAGAUCUGACACCUUCUUCUGGUGCUGCCUGAAGACAGCUACAGUGUACUUAGAUAUAAUAAUAAAUAAAUCUUUAGGCCAGGGCCAGCCUGAGUGAACUGGGUCGAUCAGAGUGAGCAGAGGUCCUGAAUUCAAAAUUCCCAGCAACCACAUGAUGGCUCACAGCUACAGUGUACUCAUAUACAUAAAGUAAAUAAAUAAAUCUUUUUUUUUAAUGGGGGGGGGGCAAACUGGGAAGAGAAUGAAGAUGUUUACUACAGCAACAGUUGCCAUGGUAACCACAUAACCACAGGGACUAGCUUGGUUAAUUAGAAUACUUGUGCCCUUUAUGGAGUUCUGAAUUCUGGUGGCUACUGGGCAAAUCCUGCUGGAGCCUGAGAGAGGCGAUCCCUCUGACAGGACGGCACUCAGAUCUUCGGGUUGUGCUGUGUGACAAAUGGUGGCAGUGGGUGGUAUGUGGAUACAGAGACCCCCUAAUUAGCAGGUCACCAAAAGAAAGUGAAUCUGCUGCUUCUGGAAUUGGGUGGGUUGUGGAGCACUGCACACUUUGUAGUUUUCCGCUGCAACCAUUUGCUGUUCUCCGCGUGACACCAGGGCCUUCCCGGGACUCUGUCUCCAAGGUUCAGAAGCUAUGACUCUGUCCCUAAUUCCAGACAACUGGAACACUGACUGGGGCAGUGUCUGAAUUCAGGAACAAAGUGUAACGAUCCCCGGUUGAACUUGGGGGGUGGGGGCAGGCGGCCUCUACAUUGCAUCUAUGAAGAUGUGUGUAGACUGAAGGGCUGACAUCAUCUUGCCUCCAUGAAACUCUGCCAAUGCUGCUGAAGAAAGUCUGAGAGAUGAGGAAGCUCACCCCACCCCCACCCCCUACUCGAGUUGUUCCUGAAGCCAGACCUGGCUUACAGUAUUCCCCUCACAUGGGCUGACCAUUUCCCCGUUUCCUGACCCAGCGCACUGGGUUACAAGUCCCUGCGGCUUACUGCUGGGGGAAGGUGGACAAGAGCCAUUGCUUGUUCAGGCCUCCUGCACACUGCCCACUUCUCUAGGAGAUUCAAAUUCUUGUCAUUACUCCUCACAACAGCUCCAGGAGGGCGUGCAAUGCAAACGCUGUCUCCACGUUAAAGAAUGACAAGGCCUAGCAAGCCUCUGUGUCCACUGUGCACAGUCAAACACAGCCGCAGGCCCAAGGUUUAGAGGUGGGGCUUUAUUGGCUGUCAGACUUCCAAGGGAUCCAACCUUUUGGGUCACUGAGGCCACUAUACGGCCCAAACUAGAGACUCUGACACGGAGGCUAGGGAGCUGGAGAAAACUGGUGGUGAUCCUUUCUAGCUCUGGAUAGCAGCUGGACCUGAGCGUCAGGAGGUCAUGGGGUAGACAUUUGGCAGGUCUUACACACACAGUCUCUGAGUCCAAACCCUGGGACGUUUCUUGUUUUCUGGAGACACGGUCUCACUAUGGGACUCUGGCUGGUUUGGAACUUGAUGUGUAGACCAGGCUGCUCUUGAACUCACAGAGCUCUCUGCCUGCCUCUGCUUCUCUAGUGCUGUAAUUAAAGGCAUGUGCUAUCAUAACCAGCU